rnacentral:misc_RNA from 1 species
GCCGGUAAUUCCAACUAAAUAAAAGAAAUCAUCAUUGGCUUCAUAAUAUAUAAAUUUAAUCAGUGCAAAUUUACACAUUAGAAAAUUUGAAAAUUAAAAUGUAAUCGCCGAAAUCGGCUCCGUGAAUCAACUGAAUUCAGAUCCACAGGUUCCUAUCAGCAAGCGAAGCAUGAAAUCGAUUUCUGUCCAAUCAUAGCAUCGCCGGUCAAUGCCUAAAGGCUACCGGCG